CUGGCGGCAUGCCUCAUACAUGCAAGUCGAACGAGGUUUUCGGACCUAGUGGCGCACGGGUGAGUAACAUGUGGGAAUCUGCCUGAAGGUUCGGAAUAACUGCGGGAAACUGUAGCUAAUACCGGAUGUGUCUGCAAAGAGAAAGAUUUAUCGCCUUCAGAUGAGCCCGCACUAGAUUAGCUAGUUGGUGAGGUAAUUGCUCCACCAAGGCUACGAUCUAUAGCUGAUUUGAGAGGAUGAUCAGCCACACUGGGACUGAGACACGGCCCAGACUCCUACGGGAGGCAGCAGUAGGGAAUAUUGGACAAUGGGGGAAACCCUGAUCCAGCAAUGCCGCGUGAGUGAAGAAGGCCUUCGGGUUGUAAAACUCUUUCAUCAAUGAUGAUAAUGACAUUAGUUGAAGAAGAAGCUCCGGCUAACUUCGUGCCAGCAGCCGCGGUAAUACGAAGGGGGCUAGCGUUGUUCGGAAUCACUGGGCGUAAAGCGUAUGUAGGCGGAUCAAAAAGUUAGAUGUGAAAUCCCUGGGCUCAACCCAGGAACUGCAUUUAAAACUAGUGAUCUAGAAUUUGGUAGGGGUUAGUAGAAUUUCCAGUGUAGAGGUGAAAUUCGUAGAUAUUGGAAAGAAUACCAGUGGCGAAGGCGACUAACUGGGCCAUUUUUGACGCUGAGAUACGAAAGCGUGGGUAGCAAACAGGAUUAGAUACCCUGGUAGUCCACGCAGUAAACGAUGAGUGCUAGUCGCUGGGACAAUAGUUUCAGUGUCGAAGCUAACGCAUUAAGCACUCCGCCUGGGAAGUACGGU
rnacentral:rRNA from 1 species